rnacentral:rRNA from 1 species
AAUCAACGCUGGCGGCGUGCCUCAGACAUGCAAGUCGAACGAUUAAAGCUCUCUUCGGAGAGUGUAUAGAGUGGCGCACGGGUGAGUAACACGUAAGUAGUCUACCCUCGAGUGGGGAAUAACGUCCGGAAACGGACGCUAAUACCGCAUAAUGCAGCGGCACCGCAAGGUGACAGUUGUUAAAGGAGAAAUUCGCUUGAGGAGGAGCUUGCGGCAGAUUAGCUUGUUGGUAAGGUAACGGCUUACCAAGGCUACGAUCUGUAACCGGUCUUAGAGGACGGUCGGUCACACUGACACUGAAUAACGGGUCAGACUCCUACGGGAGGCAGCAGUCGGGAAUUUUGGCAAUGGGCGAAAGCCUGACCCAGCAACGCCGCGUGAAGGAUGAAGUA